AUUGAACGCUGGCGGCAGGCUUAACACAUGCAAGUCGAACGGUAACAGGUCUUCGGAUGCUGACGAGUGGCGAACGGGUGAGUAAUAUAUCGGAACGUGCCCAGUCGUGGGGGAUAACGUAGCGAAAGUUACGCUAAUACCGCAUACGAUCUAUGGAUGAAAGCGGGGGAUCGCAAGACCUCGCGCGAUUGGAGCGGCCGAUAUCAGAUUAGGUAGUUGGUGGGGUAAAGGCUCACCAAGCCAACGAUCUGUAGCUGGUCUGAGAGGACGAACAGCCACACUGGAACUGAGACACGGUCCAGACUCCUACGGGAGGCAGCAGUGGGGAAUUUUGGACAAUGGACGCAAGUCUGAUCCAGCCAUUCCGCGUGCAGGAUGAAGGCCCUCGGGUUGUAAACUGCUUUUGUACGGAACGAAAAGGUCUCUCCUAAUACGAGGGGCUCAUGACGGUACCGUAAGAAUAAGCACCGGCUAACUACGUGCCAGCAGCCGCAGUAAUAC
rnacentral:rRNA from 1 species